UACGAAGGGGGCUAGCGUUGUUCGGAUUUACUGGGCGUAAAGCGCACGUAGGCGGAUCGUUAAGUCGGGGGUGAAAUCCUGGAGCUCAACUCCAGAACUGCCUUCGAUACUGGCGAUCUCGAGUCCGGAAGAGGUGAGUGGAACUCCUAGUGUAGAGGUGGAAUUCGUAGAUAUUAGGAAGAACACCGGUGGCGAAGGCGGCUCACUGGCUCAUUACUGACGCUCAGGCGCGACAGCGUGGGGAUCAAACAGG
rnacentral:rRNA from 1 species